GGAUACAUGGCGUAGUGGUUUGAGCAUUGGACUAAGACUCUGGAGACCAGGGUUUGAAUCCCAGCUCAGCCA
rnacentral:tRNA from 1 species